rnacentral:sRNA from 1 species
UGUUGUUUGAACUUCUUUCAAGUUUCUCUAAGUUAUAAAAGUGGUAUGUUUUUUCGGUAAUUUUUUUAACUUAUAGGAGACAUAAUGUCUACAACAGGAAAAGUCAAAUGGUUUGACGCAAAGAAAGGUUUUGGUUUUAUUGAGCAAGAAAGUGGUGACGAUGUAUUCGUUCACUUCCGUGCUAUCCAAGGCGACGGUUACAAAUCACUAGAAGAAGGUCAAGAAGUAGUAUUUGAUCUAGAAGAUGGUGCUAAAGGUCCUCAAGCGGCUAACGUACAUCCUCAGUAAUUUUUAAUUAAAUUACUUAAAAAAACCCAGCUUAAUCGCUGGGUUUUUUAU